CUGGAAUUGCUGUAAUGGCAGGUCAGCAUACUGCCGUGAAUACGUUCCCGGGCCUUGUACACACCGCCCGUCACACCAUGAGAGUUGGGAAUACCCGAAGCCUGUGAGCUAACAUAUGAGGCAGCAGUCGAAGGUAGAAUCAAUGAUUGGGGUGAAGUCGUAACAAGGUAGC
rnacentral:rRNA from 1 species